GGACAGGAUCUGAAGGGUAGGGAAAGGCGGUCAAUGGGAUUGUAAAUAAACCGCUGAAGGAGACGGAGAAGACACAUUGGUGAGUGAGAUGGCAGUUUCUCGUGACACUUGUGAUGACAUGAAUGUAAUGGCAGUGAAAACCAACUAAGAAAAAACUGAUUCAAAAGUGUUCAGAUCUUCAUCACAGGAAAACAUUUCUACAUCUAAUUAUGCUGCUGUUGCUGUUGUCUGUUGGCAGCACCCUCUUGAGUACCACCAACACAUCUCCUGCCCCACUGGAGGACCUGCAUCCCCGACCACUGCUACACAACCAUAAAAGACACCUACCGCUCCAUCCCGUGCCCACACUUUGGAAAAUCAGAUCACAGCACUGUGUUCCACCUCCCAGCUUACAAGCAGAAGCUGAAACGAGAGGGUCCUUCACAAAAAGAAGUACAAUGCAGGCAGUACAAUCCAAGGCAGCAGAAGACCAUCUUCAGGACUGCUUGGAAUUGGUUGACUGGACCAUAUUCAAGUUCUCAGCGGAAAUCCUAGACGAGUACACCACCACCAUCAUGCGCAGCUUUAUAGAACUUUAGUCAGGCCACACUUGGAAUAUUGCAUAUGGUUCUGGUCACCACACUAUCAGUAGGGUGUAGGUGCUUUGGAGAG